UACGUAGGGUGCGAGCGUUGUCCGGAAUUAUUGGGCGUAAAGAGCUCGUAGGCGGUCUGUCGCGUCGGUCGUGAAAACCUGCAGCUUAACUGUGGGCGUGCGGUCGAUACGGGCAUGACUGGAGUUCGGCAGGGGAGACUGGAAUUCCUGGUGUAGCGGUGAAAUGCGCAGAUAGUCAGGAGGAACACCCGGUGGGCGAAGGCGGGGUCUCUGGGGCAUUAACUGACGCUGGAGGAGCGAAAGCCGUGGGGAGCAAACAGG
rnacentral:rRNA from 1 species